UCCAUAUUCUUAAGCUCCCAUUAUAUUUUGAUGAUGAAUCUUUGAUAGAAACUGAAAUUUUUAGCAUGGAAAAUUGGAAAAAGAUUUUCAGGCGCAAUGGUUACCGCUCACAGGUCUUCCUUCAACCUCCAGUUAUCUACUGGUACUAGUAGUAGACUAGGUGAAAUCUAAGAUGUGGUUUGGUUUGCACUCUCGAUACCAUUUUCUUCUUCACCAACCCAUUUCCUCCCAGGACACCAAACCCAUACGAACACCAUUACCAAGCACUUGAAGAAGAGUUCAACAGCAACCCGGUCGACCCCUUUUGUUGUAUUCUUAUGGAGGAAGCCAACAUUGCUUUCGAAAACCCACUCUUUCAGUCAAGUGUUCCCUCAGUGAAGGAGCAGCAGCAGACAACUUCCCUUCAAACGAUUAUGAACAAUUGGAGGUGAAUUCGGCUGAAAUGAGUGCAAAACUUGCAAAGCUUGGCUUGGCAGCUGUAAGCUGCUUGAUGCGGUUACGUACACCUCCUUUUUUGUGUUUGCAUUUCUGGGGUAUGAGAAAAGUACUGGAAAGAAUCCUGCUGCCAAUAUCAAGGCCCUUAUAGGGAUUGUUCACCUGAUGUGGGAUGGGAAAUAAUGUUACUAGGCCAUUUCAAGUAGCUGGAGCAGCUGCACUGGCACCUGUAAUGGACAAAGGCUUAGAGAGGAUCCAAAAACAGUUUAAAUUUCCUAGUUGGUUUAUGCAUUUGUGCUGCUUGUCUCUAUAGUGGCUGCAUCAUGUUUGACAGUUUUUGGCUUGCUUAUCCUCUCAAGAUGGGGAAAAUGAGUUUGUCAACGGUUACUAAUAACAGAUGCUUGAAUGAGCUGUGUGGAAUUUUGAGUUAGUAUAUCCUUAUUAUGUAUUCCAGGGUCAAGCA